UAACUGGUCUAAGGUUAUAUAGAGAAACAAUAGCUUAUGUUGCUAUCGUUCUUCCUACUUGGUGGGUUUAUUCUUAUAAAUAAGACCUUCUUUAGCAGAAGACCAAUCAAACACAAAGACAUAACAUUGAUAAAUUCGUUUAAAACAGAAAGUUGAAACAAUUAAUAGUAUGGUUAGGCUAUUCAUCACUGUACCAGAGAAUAAGAGGCUGAUUGAGCUAUGGUUGAAACUUGCUGCUGGGUCUAUCUUGCUAGUUUAUGGCUGGUGAUCACAGUAUCUGGUGACAAUCAACUUAAAAUCAGGUAGAAAGAUUCAAGAAGUCCAAUCGCAAAAUAUGAUGAUGAGUUUGAUCAUGAUGUUCUCUACCUGGGGAUGAACAACUUGCCCUUGAGUGAGAGAGGCCAGUAACUAUUGCAGAGCGGAUGAUCAAGCUAGUGAAGAAAAUCCACCACAAGCCCAAUAGUGCUAUAAUUAACAUGUGCAUCAUUCUGCCAAGGAGUGAGAACAGUUUCAAAAUUUUUGCGGAAGUGAUGAAGAAAGAAUAGACUUCUGGAAUGGCAAAGCAACCGCGACGAAAGUCAUGUAUUGACAAUUGUGUAAAAGGUAUUAGUUUGAAGCAUUCAAUUUCAAUAAUUUAAUCUAUACCACUAUGAAAAUGAGAUGGCAUCUGUAGUUUGUCGAGGUGUUCGUUAUGCCUAAAUGGUAUGUGACAUUUUGCCCAAAGAUGGUUUAUAUAACCGAUGACUGUCAUUGACCUAUUUUUGUUAAGAAAAUCCUUUAAGCCGUUGUCUACACUGAACAAAUGUUUGACAUACAUGUUAAACAAAAAAAUACUGUUUUUCCAAACAUUUUCAGUAUUCACAGCUGUAAAACAUAAAACCUGUUCUUCCCACUUACAAAUAUUUUGUUUGGUGAUGCGUCCACACUGGCCAUGGGCAAACAUUGUUUGUCAAACAUAAUAAAAUUUGCCCAAACUUUUUCAACAAACAUGUUUGUAGAACAUUUGUUCAGUGUGGACACGGCUUAAAGGAUAAGCCCUACUGUCUUCAAAGUUUACAUGUUAUUUUUAUGGAGGAAGUUUUUAUUUUGUUUAUUAUGUCACAUGUGUGUAUUUAACAAAUUAGCUGUUCUAAUUAUUACAUCUAACACCCUUUGGUAGUCAUCAUGUUAAACAUCCACAUGUUUACUUGAAAAGGUGAUUUUGGUAACAUUGGUUUUGGAUGAUUGGUGUAGAAUAAAAUUACACAUGACACAAACAUUUCACUGUUACAAAAAUGGACUGUAUUAUGCAAGAAGAUCAAUGAAACAAAAGAUCUUAAUAUUACGAGUGUUUCACACUUUCACUCAUUAUGCGAGAAGAUCAAUGAAAACAAAAGAUCUUAAUAUUACGAGUGUUUCACACUUUCACUCAAAAAUAGUCAAAUUGUCUGUACUUCAUAGUUCACAACUCAUCACCAACUCACCAACCCCAGUUCAUGCAUAGGCAGCAUGGCCAGAUGGGGUUUACACAGGAAACUCAUAACAGAGCCCUCACAAAAUGAUACAAAAUGGCGAUAACAUACCCCCCACCUAGAAGGUAUGCCUCCUAAAUAGAAAAAAAAAUAAUUUGAAAAAUAUACAAAGAAAAAAAUAUACAUAAGCAGUAAAAAGUUGAAUCAAUUGUUAGGAAAUGGUAAUAAACACAAUUUGUUUACUGGUCUUUUGAAUUCCCCAUUGGUGGUUUUUACUGUAGCUACUCUAACACAAUUAUCACGUCGCUGGCCCAGUUCAACAGUGCUACAACUCAAAAAUCCAAGUUUUGAGAAAAAGGCAAUUUAAUGUUUCAAAUUAUUACUGUGAAUUAUGUAUUGCUUCUGGAGGGUUGAUUUCUUCCAAGUAGAAGUAUAAUGUUCAUAAUUACCACUCGGUAAUCUUACAACAUUGAUUUAAUUAUUAUUUGUUGAGAUAAUUGUCAUUUUUUGAGUUAGUGUUGUUUAGAAUUGGUUAAUUUUCCAACUUGACAUGCAUAUUUCUUACUUGAAGCUUUAUUCCCCUUAAUUUCUCAACUCAUUGAUGGAUGUAAUUUAUGUAUUUAAGCCAUUUCACAUUUACCAUACAGUAAAAUACAACUCCAAAAAUUG
rnacentral:lncRNA from 1 species